CUUAGAUCUAUUAUGAAUUUUAAAAAUAUGUUGUGUAUAUACAUGUACAUUGUUACUAGUUUCUUUGUCUUCCACCCAAAUCCCUGAGUAUUUUGCUAUUAUUUGGUUACUCUGAUGAAGUCUAUAAGCAUAGACGAAAGCUUAGACCAUUAAUAAAAAGGCACAUCCUACGAA
rnacentral:lncRNA from 1 species